rnacentral:rRNA from 1 species
UACGUAGGGUGCGAGCGUUAAUCGGAAUUACUGGGCGUAAAGCGUGCGUAGGCGGUUCGUUAAGUUCGUUGUGAAAGCCCCGGGCUCAACCUGGGAAUGGCAAUGGAAACUGUCGUGCUGGAGUAUGGCAGAGGGGGGUGGAAUUCCGCGUGUAGCAGUGAAAUGCGUAGAGAUGCGGAGGAACACCGAUGGCGAGGGCAGCCCCCUGGGCCAAUACUGACGCUCAGGCACGAAAGCGUGGGGAGCAAACAGG